AUUUAAAUAGCUUAUAUUUAGAGUUUAAUAUUGAAGAUAUUAAGGAGAUUAUUUAAUCUUUAAAUG
rnacentral:tRNA from 1 species